UAUAUGGGAAAAUAGUUCUUCAAAAUAGAAGGAAAACAGAUGAAACAAGAAGAAAACAUUCAGAUUCCCUAUGAAAUGAUGGCAGAGAUCCAUGCAGCGGGUGUCUCUGAGGUUAGGAAUGGGAUUCUUGGGAAACUGAUGCAUCCCAGACCUCCUCCUGAAGAUGUGUCCCCUCAUUUCCACAAAGUUCUUCUAUCUUCAGCAGGAAAUGGUAAUUCCUACCAACCCUAAUUAGUGGCCCUUUGAAGCUCUCCACUGGGUUCCAAGCCACUGUAUCUCCUGAGCUUUUUGAGCUUUCUGCAUGAGCAGUCUGAAUGACAUCUGGACCUCUGCCUCAUUCAGUGCACGGGACAUACACACGUGAGAGAUUUCAGAGUGCGUAAGCAACCACCAGUUUAGCAGUUCCUGACAUGGCUUUUUCAUCUAGUGUAAUGCUUUUAACAGUAUGUUACUUCUUUUCAUGUCUUUUCUUCUUCACAUUGUUGAUCUUUUCUAUAGAAAGAAUAGCAAGAUAAGAUAGUAAUCCUAAGAAAAUGAGAUAUAGAGGCAGUCCUCUGUUUCCACAAGAUUUGAACAUUAGAUGCAUCUGUGUCAUCUAUGCAAUCAUACCUUUUGCAAACACCCAGUUAGAAAAAUUUGGAAUCCUCCCUGUUAUUGUCUGGUACAUGACACGUACUCCUCUUUGCACUACAUUAUAUCAUAAGCAUGAAAGUAAGUUAUUCAAAGCACAAGUAAUCUCUCAAAAUGCUAUUAAUUUGGAAUCAAGAUGCUCCUAAGGGAUAUUAUUUGUUAUCUUCAUUUUUUUUCCCCAAAGAAAAUCUGACAUCAGUUAUUCCUUAUCAACGAGUUAAAUUUUUUGUGGGUUGCUUUUUUCUUUUUCUUUUUUUUUCUUUUUUUCUUACAAUGCAUGGAAGUGUAAAGCAAAAAACACUGCAGAUCAAACAUAUAGAUCAUGUAUUCUUUUCCUUAUUCUGCAUACCAGCUUGGUUCCAAUUCUUUUUAAAUAAAUAUGCUUCUAUAUUUUAAAGCAGAUAACUAUUUUGUCAUUUUGGAAUACCUUCAAAACCACUUUUGACUGACUGUCAUAAACAUUUGUCUAAAUGAAAGCAGACAUGGCUUUCUUUUCAUGACAUUAAU